rnacentral:rRNA from 1 species
UACGGAAGGCAGCAGUGGGGAAUAUUGCACAAUGGGCGAAAGCCUGAUGCAGCUAUGCCGCGUGUAUGAAGAAGGCCUUAGGGUUGUAAAGUACUUUCAUCGGGGAGGAAAAACAAAACUAAUAAUUUUAUUUCUUGACGUUACCCGAAAAAGAAGCACCGGCUAACUCCGUGCCAGCAGCCGCGGUAAUACGGAGGGUGCUAGCGUUAAUCAGAAUUACUGGGCGUAAAGAGCACGUAGGUGGUUUUUUUAAGUCAGAUGUGAAAUCCCUGGGCUUAACCUAGGAACUGCAUUUUGAAACUGAAAUACUAGAGUAUCGUAGAGGGAGGUAGAAUUCUAGGUGUAGCGGUGAAAUGCGUAGAUAUCUGGAGGAAUACCUGUGGCGAAAGCGGCCUCCUAAACGAAUACUGACACUGAGGUGCGAAAGCGUGGGGAGCAAACAGGGAUUAGAUACCC